GGAAAAACCUUUGAAUUACGUAGAUUUAUGCCGCUUCUCAUGCUCUUUUCCUUAGCUUCCCUGUGAUCCACCUGGCCUUGCCCUCAGCCCAGUGACAGCCUCAGACUGCCAGACCUCUUGCUACCUCAGAGCUUUUCCUUGUGCUGUCCCCCUGCCUGGAUUGAUGUCUCUCUCCCUGCUCUGUCUACUUAAGAACUCAGUCUCUGGGUCCACUUGACAAGGCAUAUUCUUGGGGAAGCUUGAAUGAAGCCCAAAGGAGACCAGGUACCCUGUUAGACAUUCUCAGCAUGUGAUUUGUUUAAAGAUUAUCUUCCCUCCUAGGCUGUAAGCAUUUUAAGGAUAGGGAUCACACCAGUCUUCACCGUUGUAUUACCAGCACCCUGCAUAGGGUGGGAGGUUAGGACAGCCGAGUAGUAGGAAAUGCUGGCUGCCUGGAUUCAAAUUCCACUGCCACUGCUUUCUAGUGUUGUGAUUUUGAGCACGUUGACUUAAGCUCUCAAAUACCUGCCUCUGAAGAGUUACUGUGAAGACCAAAUGAUAAUGUGUGUAAAGAAUUUACUAUGGUCCUUGGCACAUAGUAUUCAGUAAAUAUUAGCUGUUAGGAUUAUCAAGGUGCCGAUAAAUAUUUGCUGAAAGACUGCUUUUCGAAGAGUGUGUGCUCAAUAAAUACUUCCAGGUAUUUUGCACAUAGGUGUUAUUGCACCGAACCCUAUUGCUUGUGUAUUACAGUCCAUACACAAUGUCUAGCACAAAGCAGGCAUUCAGUGAAAGAAUGGGAGCAGUGAACUACAAAUGCAAGUGUGAGAACCCUGCAAAAGUGUGGAUGUAAUCACUGAGUGCUGAUAAGAAAUACUAGAGUAUUAUAUAGUAUAUUGCUCUUCACUUAUUCCUGCUUCUGUGUUAGAGGCACUGUGAGAAGAGGGCUUGCGAGAUAAGCUAUGUCUCUUUUACCGUCAACUGUCUACUCAGUGCGCAGUCCUGUGCCUGGCACAUUUGGGGAAUGCAAUAUUUUUUUUUCAAUGAAUGAAAGAAUAAAAAAAUGAAUGAAAACAGAAUUUGGAGUCUGAAUAACUGAGUUUGAGCCCCAGCUUCUUUCCUGAGUUAAUCUCCUAGGUUUCAAUAUCCUCAUUUGAAAAAUUGAGAAAGUUAACAUUCAUUUUUCAAUGAAAUAAGGAGAGAAUCCUGUUUAUGUUAACGUGCUACACAAAUACUAGUUAAAAAAGUUAAGCAUCCCCCAUCAUUUCUGGAAAGAAAAAUAAUCUUCUUAAUGUAACAAUAAAUCUUGUUUCAAAGAAGUUUGCGUUUACUCUGAUAAAACGGAUAGAAGAUCUUGGAUCACAGCCAACUUCUGAUGUAAAGGAAAAGGUGUUGGGCAAGGCCCUGUUCCCAAGGGCGGUGCUGGCUCGCUCACCUCUGUUCUUGGAUGCCACACUGUGCAGCCUGAGGGCUUUGACUUGCUGUGAAGUAUUGGGCAUUUCUCUCUAUGGUUCUUUUUCAUCAGGCAUCCUGGAGCCCAUGCACCUUAAACUUUGCCAGCCUCUGCUGGCCCUGAUCCCUUGUCUCUCAGGACACAGCUCAAAUACCACCUCCUCCAGCUCACCUCACGCCCACCAUUUGGCAAGUCCUAAGUUCUUGUCCUGCAUCCAGGAAGAAUGAGGUAUGCGGACAACUGGAGGGUGAACAAGGUGGAAAGGAGCUUUAUUGAGUGACAGAACAGCUCUUGGGAGACCCAAAGUGGGUGGCUCCUAUCUGCAGGCAGGUCAUCCCAGUGAAUGUCCAGCUCUCAGUGGAGAGGAGACCCAGAGUGGGCAGCUCCUAUUCGCAGAGUCAUGUGGAAGCACCAGGAUCCCAUUCCUACCACUGAAAUUAAACAAAUGAAAAAAAAUUAGCAUGAAAUUCUUUGUGCGUGGACAGUGACCUGAGAAGACAAUAAGACAUUUCAAAGCAUUGAGUUAAGGAUAAUGAAGUUUAUAAAAUCUAGUGGCAAGAUAUAGCUGACUCUUGACACAGACAGAGGAAAGGCCAUGUGAGACACAGCAAGAAAGUGACCAUCUGCAAGCCAGGAAGGAGACGUUUUUUGGUUUUGGUUCCUCACCAGGAACCAAAUUAAAUGCCACCUUGAUCUUGGACUUCCAAGCCUCCAGAACUGUGAGAAAUAAAUCUCCAGCCUAAAACCCUAUGAAACAUAAGCCACAACUGAGGCCUAUAGGAACCACAUGAAGAGCCAUUGCAGCUGCCUGCUUUCCGCCUUAGGCAAUUCUACCAAGCUACGUACCUGGCCAUCUCAUUUCAUUUCCUGUUCACUGACUACAUGGGCUACUUAGCUAUCUGUGGUUCUGCAUCUCUGAUUGGUCCUGUCCGUGGGUUUGGGCUACUAGGUUAAACAUGUUUAUUCCAAAUGUAGUUAUCUGAAAAUCAUACUUCCAUAUGCACAAGUACUGGAGCUAUUAACCAAAAAAUAAAAAUAUUAUUUCUGUUGGAUGAUGGGAUUAUGAAUAUUUUU
rnacentral:lncRNA from 1 species